GGUUGUGUGCCAUAAUGGUUUGAGUGUUGGACUAUGACUCUGGAGACCAGGGUUCGAAUCCCAGCUUGGUCA
rnacentral:tRNA from 1 species